rnacentral:rRNA from 1 species
UACAGAGGUCCCAAGCGUUGUUCGGAUUCACUGGGCGUAAAGGGUGCGUAGGUGGCAAGGUAAGUUUGAUGUGAAAUCUUCGAGCUCAACUCGGAAACUGCAUUGAAUACUAUCUUGCUUGAGGAUUGGAGGGGAGGCUGGAAUUCUCGGUGUAGCAGUGAAAUGCGUAGAUAUCGAGAGGAACACCCGUGGCGAAGGCGGGUCUCUGGGCCGAUACUGACGCUGAGGAGCGAAAGCAUGGGUAGCGAACAGG